rnacentral:rRNA from 1 species
GUAUAAGAGACAGCAGCAGCCGCGGGAAUACAGAGGGUGCGAGCGUUAAUCGGAUUUACUGGGUUUAAAGGGUCCGUAGGCGGAUCUGUAAGUCAGUGGUGAAAUCUCACAGCUUAACUGUGAAACUGCCAUUGAUACUGCAGGUCUUGAGUAAAUUUGAAGUGGCUGGAAUAAGUAGUGUAGCGGUGAAAUGCAUAGAUAUUACUUAGAACACCAAUUGCGAAGGCAGGUCACUAAGAUUUAACUGACGCUGAUGGACGAAAGCGUGGGGAGCGAACAGGAUUAGAUACCCCGGUAGUCCCUGUCUCUUAUAC